rnacentral:ncRNA from 14 species
GGGAUUUAACUCAGGGGUAGAGUGCUCGCUUUGCAUGCGAGACGUCGGGAUAUUAGGGUUCGAAUCCCCCAAUCUCC